rfam:Heliobacterium modesticaldum Ice1, complete genome.
GAAAAUUGAAAAGACUCGCUGUAGACAGCAGGUGCCGCAGGGAUGCGGCUUAAUGGGAAAACACCUGCCGAGGUGAUUGGUCAAGAUAACCUGUGAAGCGGCUUUGUGCCGCCUUCAUCGGGCUGCCUUAUGUUGCCAAGCCUCCGCUGUCUGCAGCGGAGGCUUUUCCGCUUUCUCA